GCAAGUCGAGCGGUAACAGAGAUAGCUUGCUAUCUGCUGACGAGCGGCGGACGGGUGAGUAAUGCUUGGGAAUAUGCCUUUGAGUGGGGGACAACAGUUGGAAACGACUGCUAAUACCGCAUGAUAGCUACGGCUCAAAGGGGGCUUCGGCUCUCGCCUUUAGAUUGGCCCAAGUGGGAUUAGCUAGUUGGUGAGGUAAUGGCUCACCAAGGCAACGAUCCCUAGCUGGUUUGAGAGGAUGAUC
rnacentral:rRNA from 1 species